rnacentral:lncRNA from 1 species
AGGAUCUUCCACCUCGGCUCAUGUACUGAUAUGAUUUGUGUUGAUACAUGAUUCUCAACAAACUAUACUACCAAACUUUUUCACGAAAUGUGUAGUACCAGUUGGUGUGAUAUCAUGUCCUCAGCAAUGCCCUCGAUGGAACGACCAUGACCAUGUUGUUGCCUGGACUCCUUUUUCAUGAUGAUGUCGCUCUUCGUCAUCCAUAGUUUAUGCGGUGGAGCGUCAAAGACCUCAGCGUGUUAUAGGAGAAGACCAUGAAGAUCAGCAAGAAAGAUGUAGGUGGUGUGCUUGAAUUCUUCUAGGAUUUUUGAACGAGCGCUUGAUUUUUUCCCGCUAUUUCAUGUCAUCAAUUUGUGUUGCAUUGCACAUGUGUCAAAUAGGUUGAUCAAGGAAGGUUCGACACUGUGAUGUGAGUUGAAACACAAGCAUGGCCUGCAAUCGACGCCCACCAUACUUGUGCCUCACAAGCAGCAAUUUUUCACAUUCUUGAUGAUAUUUGUCGGUGCCCUCUUCUCAUCUAUCCCGACAAUCUCGGUAUCCAGGCAAGGUAUGUCUAUGUCAGUUGAACUACGACUCGAUUUACAACAAUUCCAAGCUUUUUUCUAUAUCUGCAAAUUGGGUGGACUAUGGUAUGAGUCAGUUUAUAAGCAAACAUGGUGUACAUGAAUCUUUGUUGGUGUGAACUAUCAAAAGCAUUUCCUGCUAUUGCUACCUCUGUUUCAUCUUCUAAAUCUAGAGUCUAGACUUGGAUAUUAUGUAGAAACAAUCUGCUCAUGAGAAAAGUAUGGCUGAGAGUAAUACUGGAUGUAUGCAUAAUACUGGGACAAGAUAUUUACCUGCCAUUAUCCCAGAAGGGAAAAACAUAUACAUAAUACUAAACUGCCAUAAAAAAUAUAUGAGGGCUUAGAUCAUCGUUGAGUUCAAAUUUUUAUCUUUAUUAUCAUCCCAAUAAAACAUGGUUUUGCUAAUUGACUAUAUAUUAUCAAAUGUUUGAAAUGGUAAAGAAAGUGCAUAGUGCCAAUGUCGUACCUCAUCUAUUCUAUCUGUAUUGCAUCUUCUCUUUAUUUUGAAUAGAUGGGUUUAUUUUGAUUUAUGAACUAGUAGUUAACUUUGUCUAUUUCUGUUACAAACUACAGAGAGCCUUGCAAAAUUCAUGGACGUUGUUUCCUCUUGGAACUGUCCUAACUAUGCCAUGAUCACUGUCGAACAUUGCUCGACAGACUUCUCUGCUUACCAACUCUAUAUUUUUCUAGGUUUUCUUGUGAAAAUUGAUGAUACCCCAAUGUAGAGCCUUACAUGUUCAGUUUAGGUAACACGCCUUCUGAUAUUGUUACCUUGAAAUAACAACUGUAGCCGUUGUUGGUUGACAGAUUUCAGACGAUAACCUGAAUGUAGGCAUUGAACACAACAAGGUCAGGAUAUGAUAAUGGCCCAAGGUCGUGCCGACAAAUCUGAAAAUACUGUGGAACAAAAUAAUAAUCUGGCAAUGUCCCAAGAGAGCUGUUUGUUCUUGGAUUUUUAUACCCUCAUGUUAAUACUUAGCUGCUACAAUUUUUAUUGUUCUUCUCAUUAUAUGUACCUAAUAAUGAUUUAGUUCAUUUCUGGAUUAUUGGACUAAAUUACGCUGCCUACUUUCUGUAGCUUACAGCCUUCCACUUCGUAAGGAAUUGGGGCACUACACUCCCAUUUGUUAAUUGUUACGCCUGGUGUAUGCCUGUACGAGUACUCAAUGUUGUUGUCUGAUCUCUGUACAUUUGUUUGAGCGCCACACGAUCUCAUGAAAGAUUUGUAUUGGUCAUCUUAGUCCAAAUUGAUAAUGUUGUGUUCUUUUCAUACGACCUAGAGUAGAUAUGGUUCCGCUGUCGAAAGAUACGGAAUGACACAGACCAG